rnacentral:rRNA from 1 species
CCUACGGGAGGCAGCAGUGGGGAAUAUUGCACAAUGGGGGAAACCCUGAUGCAGCAACGCCGCGUGAGUGAAGAAGUAUUUCGGUAUGUAAAGCUCUAUCAGCAGGGAAGAAAAAGACGGUACCCGAUCAAGAAGCCCCCGCUAACUACGCGCCAGCAGCCGCGGUAAUACGUAGGGGGGAAGCGUUAUCCGGAUGUACUGGGUGUAAAGGGAGCGUAGACGGCAGCACAAGUCUGGAGUGAAAAGCCGGGGCUUAACCCCGGGACUGCUUAUGAAACUGUGGGGCUAGAGUGCAGGAGAGGUAAGUGGAAUUCCUGGUGUAGCGGUGAAAUGCGUAGAUAUUAGGAGGAACACCAGUGGCGAAGGCGGCUUACUGGACUGUAACUGACGUUGAGGCUCGAAAGCGUGGGGAGCAAACAGGAUUAGAUACCCGAGUAGUC